rnacentral:rRNA from 1 species
UGGGGAAUAUUGGACAAUGGGCGCAAGCCUGAUGCAGCCAUGCCGCGUGUAUGAAGAAGGCCUUCGGGUUGUAAAGUACUUUCAGCGGGGAGGAAGGCGAUGCGGUUAAUAACCGCGUCGAUUGACGUUACCCGCAGAAGAAGCACCGGCUAACUCCGUGCCAGCAGCCGCGGUAAUACGGAGGGUGCAAGCGUUAAUCGGAAUUACUGGGCGUAAAGCGCACGCAGGCGGUCUGUCAAGUCGGAUGUGAAAUCCCCGGGCUCAACAUGGGAACUGCAUCCGAAACUGGCAGGCUUGAGUCUCGUAGAGGGGGGUAGAAUUCCAGGUGUAGCGGUGAAAUGCGUAGAGAUCUGGAGGAAUACCGGUGGCGAAGGCGGCCCCCUGGACGAAGACUGACGCUCAGGUGCGAAAGCGUGGGGAGCAAACA